CCUACGGGGGGCAGCAGUAGGGAAUUUUGCGCAAUGGGCGAAAGCCUGACGCAGCAACGCCGCGUGAUCGAGACGCCCUUCGGGGUGUAAAGAUCUGUCAGUGGGGACGAAACUUGACGGUACCUGACUAAGAAGCCCCGGCUAACUACGUGCCAGCAGCCGCGGUAAUACGUAGGGGGCAAGCGUUAUCCGGAUUUACUGGGUGUAAAGGGAGCGUAGACGGUUAUGCAAGUCUGAAGUGAAAGCCCAAGGCUCAACCAUGGGACUGCUUUGGAAACUGUAAAACUGGAGUGCAGGAGAGGUAAGCGGAAUUCCUAGUGUAGCGGUGAAAUGCGUAGAUAUUAGGAGGAACACCAGUGGCGAAGGCGGCUUACUGGACUGUAACUGACGUUGAGGCUCGAAGGCGUGGGGAGCAAACAGGAUUAGAUACCCCUGUAGUC
rnacentral:rRNA from 1 species